rnacentral:rRNA from 1 species
GCGAGUGAACCGGGAUGAGCUCAAAUUUGAAAUCUGGCGUCCUCAGGGCGUCCGAGUUGUAAUCUAUAGAGGCGUUUUCCGUGCCGGACCGUGUCCAAGUCCCUUGGAACAGGGUAUCAAAGAGGGUGACAAUCCCGUACUUGACACGACGACCGGUGCUCUGUGAUACGUCUUCUACGAGUCGAGUUGUUUGGGAAUGCAGCUCAAAAUGGGUGGUGAGUUCCAUCUAAAGCUAAAUAUUGGCGAGAGACCGAUAGCGAACAAGUACCGUGAGGGAAAGAUGAAAAGCACUUUGGAAAGAGAGUUAAACAGUACGUGAAAUUGUUGAAAGGGAAACGAUUGAAGUCAGUCGUGACUGUUGGGCUCAGCAGGUUCUGCCUGUGUAUUCCCUUCAGUCGGGUCAACAUCAGUUUUGACCGGUGGAUAAGGGCAGCAGGAAUGUGGCACCUCUGGGUGUGUUAUAGCCUGUCGUCGCAUACAUCGGUCGAGACUGAGGAACGCAGCUCGCCC